ensembl:lncRNA
AAAAAAGCUAAAUGAAAAAACCCCACUAUGUUUUUAGCUUUUCCGAGGCAGUGUGCUACUUUAGCUGACUUGGCACUGGAUUAAAUACAGCUGGUAAGACAGUCCAAUUCAAGAUGUGAGAUUAAUGCCUUGGGGAGAGUUUAACGUCACUUUUUGAGGUCUGCAGUGCCAUCAACAACCAAGUAGGAGGAUGAAAUCUCUGACAGGAGGAUUGACCAGGCCUAUCUCCAGAGCAGCAACUGCACGUUCAGAAUGAACAUCACCCCGCUAACUGGCCGCUGGAGGGGAACUUGAAAGAACAGGAGCACUGACGCACCUCUGAAGAUGGUUUAGCAUCGACCACUGACAGCUGACUUCAAAGACCCAGUUAUGAACAUGACAGGCAGCCUGUGCAACAGCCUUUGAAUCCAGUGCACAUUUUUAUCAAGAAUUUAUGGUGUAUUUAGAAGUGAUUUUUUUUUUUUUUUUUUUUUGCAGCACCGGGAAUUUGAUUUGACUGUACAUUUCUUCGCUGACACGGUAACUCUCACAGGUUUCUUCUUGAUGUUGAUAUAUAUGGGACUUGCAUUUUCAUGAGUGCAUGAUGUUAUUCCACAUGGCAGCUGUUGAUAUUAGCGCCUUUGAUUCCUGAGGAGUUCUGAAGAAAUGCUGCAGAGAAAGCCCCCCAAGGCACGAGUUGUUUAUUUGCCCAGAUAUAUAUUAAUCCAAUCAAUUUGGCUCAACUCACACCUUGUGGAGAAUUGUAAUGGAGCAGAUGGAUACAGAGUAAAAAAAAAAAAAAGGCAUAUAUUUUGGCACAUUUAAUGUACAUCCAUAAUUUGGUAUCUACACGUUCAAAGUGGCCCACCUACAGUUCUGUGAUCUGAUACUCAUCUUCUUUUCAGUGUUGUCUAUUCAGAUAUGCAGUGAAAUGAGCAUUGGCGUAAUUACAUUUAGGUUGUUUUCAAAAUAUACAGGGCUGUCAUAUAUUUUUGAGUUACAUGUAAAUGAUUUUACAGAUAAUUUAGAAAAAUUAAAGUUGUCCAGGAGCAAAAAAUAAAGGUCUAAAAUGAUCGUAUUUUUUUGUUCUCAGCGCAUAUCUAAUUUUCUCCCCCCUUUUGCUGCAUUUCUUGCAGAUGGCCAAUUAAAAAAUAAAUAAAAAAAAAAAAAAAAAAAGAAUAAACGCAAACACAGUAUUAGGUGACCUUUUCAAUCAGGUUUCUCUUUCUUAUGUAUUGCCCUUCUCUCAUACUAAAGUCACUCUCAAGAUCACUGGUGGUGUAUCCAAUUCUUUCACUCCAUAAAAUAUCAACCCUCGAGACAUGGUCCCAUAGUCUUGUUUGUAUGAGAGGGCGGUGAUACGCCUGAGUGUGAGGCCAUGUGUGAGUGCGUAUGCGUGUGCCCAGGCAUGUGUACUUGUGUGUGUUGCAGUGUCAUCCCUCCCUGGAAAAUGACUUAUUAAAAUGAAAUUACGCAGCGCCCUGACCCAUGGCAAACGGCAUGAGCUGCAAUUUGUCUAGCAGUUGAGCUGUGAAUAAAAUCUGAUUGGCAAUAAUUUCGCUUUGCUGUUGAUAUCGCAUCCCAUCCUCCACGUCUUUUCUUCUCCCCCCCUUCCAUCCUCUCACCAGCCC